rnacentral:rRNA from 1 species
CCUACGGGAGGCUGCAGUGAGGAAUAUUGGUCAAUGGACGAGAGUCUGAACCAGCCAAGUAGCGUGAAGGAUGACUGCCCUAUGGGUUGUAAACUUCUUUUAUAUGGGAAUAAAAUGUUCCACGUGUGGGAUUUUGUAUGUACCAUAUGAAUAAGGAUCGGCUAACUCCGUGCCAGCAGCCGCGGUAAUACGGAGGAUCCGAGCGUUAUCCGGAUUUAUUGGGUUUAAAGGGAGCGUAGGUGGACUGUUAAGUCAGUUGUGAAAUUUUGCGGCUCAACCGUAAAAUUGCAGUUGAAACUGGCAGUCUAGAGUCUUGUAGAGGUGGGUAGAAUUCGAGGUGUAGCGGUGCAAUGCGUAGAGAUCUGGAAGAAUACCGGUUGCGAAGGCAGUCCCCUGGACUACGACUGACGCUGAGGUUCGAAAGCGUGGGGAUCAAACAGGAUUAGAUACCCGUGUAGUC